UACGUAGGGGGCUAGCGUUGUCCGGAUUUAUUGGGCGUAAAGAGCGUGUAGGCGGCCAGGUAGGUCUGGUGUGAAAACUCGAGGCUUAACCUCGAGAUGUCAUCGGAAACCAUCUGGCUAGAGUCCGGAAGAGGAGAGUGGAAUUCCUGGUGUAGCGGUGGAAUGCGCAGAUAUCAGGAGAACACCAAUAGCGAAAGGCAGCUC
rnacentral:rRNA from 1 species